CAACCAAAAAUCACAACCUAUGUAUAAUCAUAUUGCCAGCUAAGAUACAAUAGGAGCUUCCCAACUUCCAUUGCAGAUAAUAAUUCAAUAUCAAUAUAUUUAAUAAAAACCUUCCUUUCCUUAUAAGCUUUUCCAAUGGCUGCCAAACUCUUUUGUCAGCAAUGAGUGUUAGAAUCUACAUUGUCAUCUUGUGUUCAUGGGCUCUUCUCACCGCCGUCACUCCCACCCUCGUUCGCCUCGCUGCUUCGGCUAAUCUUCAAUCGAGAUUAGAUGGUGAGGGAAGGGAAGGGUUGAAAUUAUUGUUGCCGAGAAAGGCUCUUGUUGAAUCAAACGUCUCGGUGCCGGUGCUGGCAGUGGCAUCGACACCAGCACCAGCGGCGGCAGACGGCGGCGGAGGUGCGAUUCUUGAGUUGAGGAGUCAUUUUGAUCGGAGUAGAGAAAUAAAAUGACGUUUUUUAUUAUCUGACUUGGAUGGUUGUAUUUGUAAAUAGUGAUACACUUUCGUAGAAGGAUCUUUAUUUAUUUAUUUUUUAAUAAUUUAUAGAGAUAUUUGUCACAAUGAAAUAAAAGAAAUUGCAAUUUAGAGAGGCUUGAGUU